UCAGAGAUGAGAAAAUCAUCAACCUCUGGUUCAACACCAGACUCGUCCCUUCCUACCUGCCGUCUCCACUGACUUCCUGUCCUGCCUCGGCACCAAGAACUUCAGCUGCUCCACCUACCAGACCACCGUUCAGAUCCUGAGCAGCCACCACUCAGCCAUGGACCAGUCCAGACAGAUAUCAGUCUAUACUACCUACAUAGAGGUCUUUCUUUCCAGGAACAACACAGCAGACCCCAGCUGUAGCUCUGACACCCUGAACAGUGGAGACUGGCUGCUGAAGAACUUCAGAGGAUUCUCUGCCUUCGCCUCCUUCAAGGACAUGCAGAGACUACUGGCCAGCUUCUCUGUGACGGAGGCCCUGCCCCAGCUCACAGUGA